rnacentral:rRNA from 1 species
AUUGAACGCUGGCGGCAGGCCUAACACAUGCAAGUCGAGCGAGCGGCGGACGGGUGAGUAAGGUAUGGGGAUCUGCCUGAUGGCGGGGGAGAAAUACUGGAAACGGUAGCUAAUACCGCAUACCAUCAGAUGAACACAUAUGGGGUUAGCUUGUAGGUGAGGUAACGGCUCACCUUGGCGCCGAUCCCUAGCUGUUCUGCGAGGUAGAUCAGCCACACUGGGACUGAGACACGGCCCAGACUCCUACGGGAGGCAGCAGUGGGGAAUAUUGCCCAAUGGGCGCAAGCCUGAUGCAGCCAUGCCGCGUGUAUGAAGAAGGCCUUCGGGUUGUAAAGUACUUUCAGUCGGGAGGCGUUACCGACAGAAGAAGCACCGGCUAACUCCGUGCCAGCAGCCGCGGUAAUUC